rnacentral:misc_RNA from 1 species
AACGCACAUUGCGCCCUCUGGUAUUCCGGAGGGCAUGCCUGUUCGAGCGUCAUUAUCACCCCUCAAGCCCGGCUUGUUGUUGGAUGUAGCGGGUCCCCCGCUCUUCCCAAAGAUAAUGACGGCGUCUGUGAGGACUCCUGUACACUGAGCUUUCGGGCACGUACUAGGUUAGAACUUCAGACCCGGUCUUCGUCUCUUUACUGGGACACUUCUUUUUUUACAAGGUUGACCUCGGAUCAGGUAGGGAUACCCGCUGAACUUAA